ensembl:lncRNA
CCCUUCCUGCUGUUACUGACGUUCUCAUUUCUCAGAUGGGCAUGUAGACAGUAACAUGAUUUUCCAGGGCCAUGUAGAAAAGACACGUGGCCCCAAGCACCCUCCCAUUCAUCCCAGGCGUCUGUCCUCACUCAAUCAGGGCCACUGCCUGAGACGGGCACGCCCACACUCCACCUCCCCAGCUUUGAUGAGCUUGGAUAUAUGGACGUGAUGAAUGGCCCCCAUCUUCCCUGACCGACCCUGUGGUCUUCACUCAGCCUCUGCACUUUUUUCUUCUCACUGCCACUGGGCGUGCUUCUAGCAGAGGAGAGGCCAGCCAGGAUUGGAGAGGAGCCCCAGACUGACCUGAGGUGCCAGGCAGACCACGCCCUCCAGGAGUGGGGAAUCAGCUGAGAGGCGGGCUGUGGCCCCCCAACAGGGUCUUGGGAGAACUGGGGCAACCUGCACUUGAAAUUGGGAACCCUCCAGUCCCAAGAACAGAUCCAGACCUUGGCCAAGUGCGCCCAGAGCCAUCUCUGCCAACCCCACAGCCCCUCACCCACAGGUUGGGG